rnacentral:sRNA from 1 species
CCUGCAUGGCCUUCCUAAUCACAUUGCAUAGCUACAAGAAAACACAUGAAACCCUGAGUCACGCAGGGCAGAAGGCAACUACAGCUUUCAGCAACGUUGGAACGGCCAUCAGCAAGAAGUUCGGAGACAUGAGUUACUCCAUUCGCCAUUCCAUAAGUAUGCCUGCUAUGAGGAAUUCUCCUACUUUCAAAUCAUUUGAGGAGAGGGUUGAGACAACUGUCACAAGCCUCAAGACGAAAGUAGGCGGUACGAACCCUAAUGGAGGCAGUUUUGAGGAGGUCCUCAGCUCCACGGCCCAUGCCAGUGCCCAGAGCUUGGCAGGAGGCUCCCGGCGGACCAAGGAGGAGGAGCUGCAGUGCUAAGUCCAGCUAGCGUGCGGGUGCAUCCAGAAACCGGUCACUACCCAGCCCAUCUCUGCCUGUGCUUAUCCAGAUAAGAAGACCAAAAUCCCGCUGGGAAAAACCCAGGCCUUGACAUUGUUAUUCAAAUGGCCCCUCCAGAAAGUUUAAUGAUUUCCAUUUGUAUUUGUGUUGAUGAUGGACCACUUGACCAUCACAUUUCAGUAUUCUAGAUGACUGUCACAUUUUAAAAUGUUCCCACUUGAGCAGGUACACAACUGGUCAUAAUUCCUGUCUGUGUAAUUCGAUGU